CACCAAGACAUGUGACCAAAUUUAAUUGGCUCAAGCCUUGAGUGGGACACUUGUCACUCUUAGGGGCUGCCUAUAUAAGGAAAAAUCUGAUGUUUAAGUGUUCAUUUUAUCAUCUUCAACAUUACAAGAAAAGAGAAAAACCUAGAGAUAGAGAAGGGGGGGCUCACGGCCAUGGUGAAAAAAAUCCAUGUUCACCAAGCUUGGUCCAAUUAAUUUUUCCAUGGUGUUGUAAAUCAAAUGGAGGUCUUUGGGAACAUGAAUUGGUCCUUGAGAGCAGCAAGAAUGGUCUUUAAUUGAAGCCAUUAAAUUCAGCAAAUUAAGGAGCAACUUGCUAAGACCUUGGGCAGCCCGAAUCAUAGGUUGGAUUUAGCUUGAGUUUGGAUCGUAUUGGAGAGCGUUUGAGGUACAGACGCACACCCUGGUGAUCCACCUGUUUAGGACACCCUUUCUGCUAUUCGGAGUGCUCCUCUCUUUCCGGAGCUUAUACUUUUGGUAUAUAUAUUUAUUAGUGCAUUUGUA